GCCUGGCUGGCUCAGUCAGUGGAGCGUGCGAUUCUUGAUCUCGGGGUUGUGAGAUCAAGCCUCAUGUUGGGUG
rnacentral:tRNA from 1 species